UGGUGAUCGGUCAUAGAUAGUUGUCGGUUUUGAUUGUAAGAGAGAGAGGGAGGGGUCUUACCUAGGAUGAUUGGUGGUUGGAGGUUGGAUGCCAAUCGAAUCAAAAUAGGGUGCCACCAUGCAUCAUCGAUAACCCUAAGUCCCUUUGUUUGUUUUUCUCCCUAUUCCUCUCCCUUUCUCCCUCUUGCUCGAUCUGAUAGCAUAUGGUACAGGGUUACGCUUUGUUUCAUCUCAUGUAGCAA
rnacentral:lncRNA from 1 species